GAGGAGGACAGAUUGAGUGAGUCUGGGCCUGAGGAGCACUGUUUUAGAGAUAAGAUGAAAUGUUCUGCAUUGAGGAAGAAGUCCCCUCCAAGGAGGAUGUGUGCUGCUGCAAAGAUCCAACAGCAGGCAGAAAGGGGGAACUCACUUCCAAGACAGCACUAUGCAACUGAGAAUUGGAUCCAACUUCAGUCAGACAAGGUGAGAAGACCAAAGAGUGCCAUAAUGGAAGGGAGGGGAGGCAGCAUGGGACAAACACUCUGGAAUCUGGCCACCCCUCUUUGUCACAGAAGUGUCACACCCCAGACACUAACUAAAGCCUAAAAAUCCUAUGGCCAUGAUCACCCUAUACCUGCUGGUCAUCAUUUAAAACUAUCUCUUCUCCUACCUUAGCCAGAGUCCACUUUUCAUGUUACUCUCACUAAGGUAAAGAUCACUUCUUUCUCCUUGUAGGGAGAGUAUUCAAAAAUAUACAAUAUUAGAAUAAGAACCCCAAGCCACGUGGACCUUGGCACCACCUUCUCCAAACUCUUAUAUGAAUUGGCCAGCAGGUUGUUUCCUUGCUUGACUUAGAGCUGAAAGCCAAAGAAUGAGUAGGUUGCAGUGGAGGACAGGAUCCUACAACCUUCUUUCCUACUCUGUGAGGGAAGGAAUUAGAAAGGAGGAAGUCAAGUCAGUCACUUUUCCAACCAGACUCACUCCAAUAUUCUUUGCAAGUGUUAGUAGAUGAAGUCAAAAAGAUUGGUCAGAACAGACUAAGAUGUCACAGACUAUAAAGUGUGCAGCUGUGCCUCAGCUUGAGGGGUGAGCAUUAUAGAUGGCAGGUGAUAUCUGACCUGUGGGGCUUUGUUCUUCAAUGACAACUAGGAGGACGACAGAUUGAGUGAGUCUGGGCCUGAGGAGCACUGUUUUAGAGAUAAGAUGAAAUGUUCUGCAUUGAGGAAGAAGUCCCCUCCAAGGAGGAUGUGUGCUGCCGCAAAGAUCCAACAGCAGGCAGAAAGGGAGGAGGACAGAUUGAGUGAAUCCGAGAUUGAGAAAAAGAAUCUGUGGGAAAAGGUGGAAUGUUCUCCAUUGAUGAAGGCCUCCCCUCCAAAGAGGAUGUGUGCUGCUGCAAAGAUCCAACAGCAGGCAGAAAAGGGGAACUCACUUCCAAGACAGUACUAUGCAACUGAGAAUUGGAUCCAACUUCAGUCAGACAAGGAGGACGACAGAUUGAGUGAAUCUGAAAUUGAGAAAAAGAAUCUGUGGGAAAAGGUGGAAUGUUCUCCAUUGAUGAAGGCCUCCCCUCCAAAGAGGAUGUGUGCUGCUGCAAAGAUCCAACAGCAGGAAGAAAGGGAGGAGGACAGAUUGAGUGAAUCUGAAAUUGAGGAAAAGAGUCUGUGGGAAAAGAUGGAAUGUUCUCCAUUGAUGAAGGCCUCCCCUCCAAAGAGGAUGUGUGCUGCUGCAAAGAUCCAACAGCAGGAAGAAAAGGUGAGUCAGAUCCAAGAGAAGCUGAGUGUUGGGGAAGAAGGAACACCUCUGCUCAGUCACUCAAUCAAUCUAGUCACACAUCCUUUGUCAGCCAGGUAG
rnacentral:lncRNA from 1 species